rnacentral:lncRNA from 1 species
GACUUCUUUAUUAUCUACGAGAAUGUUCUAUUGAGGUCCAUUUCUUUAAUCCAUUUCCCUUUUCUUCAUCUUGAUUUUAAAUUGGUUGUGAUUAUGUGUGGUGUGAUUAUGGUUGUUGGAUUUUGGUUGAUAUUAUGAUUUAUGUGCUUGAUGAUACUAUGUUGGCAAUAUUUGAAACAAAAUUUGAAUAAUUUGGAUGGCAUGAUUGAUAAAAUUGAAGUUGGGACGGGAAUCGAAAAACUGAUUAAAGUGAAUAUUAUGAUAUUUUGAUUCAUUAUCGAUGUUGUACGUGAUAUGUCAUCGAGUGGGUAGGAACAUAGUAGGUUUGGGUAGGCCAUUUAAGAAUGUUGGAUUAAUGAGUGCUUGAAAUGUGUGUUGAAUGGUUCUGUUUUAUCACUUUUGGAUCAAUUGUACAAUUUGGCCGGAGAAUGCCCUGAAGUAUCUGUAUAUAUUUAUUCACCGGGAAAUGCCCUGAGGUAUCUUGUAUUUGUAGGACGUUCAUGAUGAAGGCCCAAGGCGCCGAGUAGAGCAUUUGUCUAGAAUAAAUUUAGAAUAGGAUUUAUUUUUAUGCAUUUUUCUACUUUUAGACUGUAUAAUUGGACUGGACAUUAUUAUUUCAGUUUUGGGGUUGAUGUUUGAUAUUUGUUUAUGUGAUUUUGUGUGGUUUGCACAUUCGUUGUUUCUAAUUAGCCGAUAUGCUCCACCAAGCGACCGUGGUCGAACCACAGGAUCGAGGGGUGCCUAACACCUUCCCCUCAGUCAACAAAAUUUUUUAGCCAUAAUCUCUGUUCGCAAACCAGUUUUAAAGAGUCAAAACAGUUUUGAAAAAGAUUUUCCAAAGGUGACUUGACACACCAGAUUAUGCCACGUGGCGACUCUGAGUUUUGAAUAUAAAAAGUCCUUUUUGGAACAAAUCUUCAUUUUGUCACUUAAUAAUAAAAACCCUUUUGAAACUUAAAAUAAUGAAUCUUUUUGGGAUUUAAAAAGGGGUGUGACAGCUCUGGAGACUCUGCUAGGGAACAUUUCAGAAGUCGAGCUAAUUUUGGAGUUGUAUCGACUUAGUUUGACACUAUAAGUGUAUAGACAUUUUGUUUGUGUUGUUUUGUAUUAUUGUUUUAUCAUUGUUGAGUGCCUACGUGCUCUUUGUUUACAGUUUUUACUUUAUGUGUUACCGCUUUAUAUCUGGCAUCAUGUGCAUAACCCGAGUCAUUAUUUCUACAACAAGUCCAUAGUACACGUGUGUACAUGACCUAUAGUUGAGUCACUCUUAUUUUAGGAAGGGGGAGCCAUUGGGUUGUAUGGAGUUGAUGGAAAGCUGUCGCAACCACUAUCGACCAUAUGCUCCCCCGAAUAGCCUUGUUAGUGAACCCCAACGUAAGUCAGCGUUUAGGUCAUGCUUAUGUGCAUCAUAAUGAGACCUAGCGGGGACCACUUGGUCCUUCAUAGGAGACUCACCUCUAAAGCAUCCCAACAUGCUAAAUAUUGCAUCUUUGAGGGUAUCGUGGUCAUUUGAUGGACUAAUUUAGGGAAAACGUGUGUUAGAAGUAAAGUGUGUGGGUAAUGAAAGAAAAAAGAAAAAAAGAGUGUCAUAGUUUUUAGAGUUCUUUAUGGCUUUUUUUUCACAAUUUUACCUUUCGUACUUAUUUUCUCAAAAAUAAAAAACGUCAAAAAGAAUUUUCUUUUGUUCCUUUAUCAUGCAUUCAUAAUUCGAAAAUUUCAAAAAGAUUUUUUUUAAUUGGAGCUUUUUAUAUAGAAAAAUUUAAAAAAAAAUGAUAGAAUUUUUGUACGAAAACACCAAAAAGAUUUUAAUUUCAUAGUGGUGUCAUUUUAUGUAAAGUAUCUAUUAAAAACCCAAAAAAAAAUUAUUUUCAUCGUCCGUAUGUAAUCCCGACUCUCAGGUUAAGCCUUAGUUUGUUUCAGUUUUUAAUUGUCUAAUCUGGACGAACUACGCGUACCUGAUGCUCGUCCCUCGAGGUGGGAUACGUAGGAAACCCUCGGCGGGUCUGGUAAUCUUUUUACUUUGGUCUUUGCCUCCAUCUUAGCAGGGUCUUUCUCCUCAUAAUCUAUUGUUGUCAAUUGAUUCUUGCCAAGUAGGCUGAUUUCAUUCGGUAGUACUGUUCGGUAGAUUUGAGUUAUAUGUCGGUUGGUCUCUCCAUGUCACACGAUAUUUUUCUAAGAUAAAAUCUCGAGGGUCGGGAGUUCUUUGUCUUGUUUUUAAUUUUGAGUUGUAAGUUUGAUUUGUUAUUACAGGAUGAAACCUACAGGGUCUAGAGUCUUGAUGGUUUCCAAAGUGACCAAAAAGUUAAUCAAGUGGUGGGGCACGUUCAACUACGCUGACAAGCAAGAGCUAAUUAAGAUAUUAGGUGAUCUUACGAAACUUCUGCAUGUCCCACCCCGUCAAGAUCUAAUAGAUAUUGUGUUGACCUUUUAGGAUCCUAGUAAUUUGGUGUUUAGGUUAGGAAAGUGUGAAAUGACGCCUACUUUGGAAGAAUUAUCUGGUCUGCUUCCUUUUCCUUAUAUUGACAAAAGUAUGAUCCAAGCUCGGAAUCACUCGGGCAAUAGGUUUCUACAAUGAUGUGGUUAAAGAGUAACAACGGACAUUUGGGUUGUCUGAAUCAAUCAUGGAUUUCCUUAGACUUUCUAUUCGCUAGAUUUGGGUCCUUGGAAGGUUUUGACCAUUUUUGGGAUGAAUUUUAUAUGACUAAGCAGAAGUGGGAAAGAAAGCAUCUUUAAGUCUUCAUCCUCGCUCUGUUGGGCACUCUAGUUUUUCCACUAGAAGAAAGGCGUAUUAAUACACAUUUGCAAUCUGUGGUGAUGGCUCUAUUUCGUAAAGAUCAAAAGGACAAGGUCACUAAUCAAAAGGACAAGUUCACUAUCAUACCCAUGAUCUUAACAGAGAUGUAUAAGGCUUUAAUGUUCACUAUCAUACCCAUGAUCUUAACAGAGAUGUAUAAGGCUUUAAUCGAAGUGAAGAGGGGAAUGAGAUUUUUUGAGGGCAGUAACCUGAUGUUACAGUUAUGGAUGAUAGAGCAUUUGCAUGCGCCUUCUUUAGUUAUACCAGACGUGGUUGAUCGUUGUGUUCCCAAUCGAGUGAAAGCCAUAGACCUCAGGUUGCGCUUUGAUAAAUUCUCACUACCCGUGGGAGUGGAUGCUUGGAUUGAAUUUCUUGAAUCAAGAACCAAGGAUAACAUUUUGUGGACUUAUCUGUGGCUUCGCCCAAACAUAAUCGUGUUUGGUUGUAAAAUGCAACUCCUUCUAGUUAUGUUAGGGCUCAAUUGCACUAGAACAAACAGUCCUUCUAGGGUAAUGCGCCAGUUGGGUAGGCCGCAGGAUGUGCCACCAGUAGUGGAUCUUCUAAAGGAUGUUGAGUACUUCAAGGACCAAGCCUUAGGUGAGAGCAAAUACAGGUAGUUUUGGAAGCAUGCAACAAAGCUAGGUGUGGACACUCUCAAAGAAAGUUUGGAUAAUCUGAGGUACACUCAGAGAUAUGAGAUCUAGCUAGAGUCCAUGCCUCGGGUUAUCAGUAGGUCAUUACCAGUACAGCUUAGAGGGAGAAUACAGGAAGAAUGCAUAGUUGAUGACCGUUAUGAUGAGGGUACGGGGACCAAAGUAGAAGCACUAAGAGUUCAGUUAUUAGGUUUGCUCAAAACUGUGGAGGGGUAUCAGAACAAUCUUCUUAAAUGUACUCCCCAUGAGGUGGGAAUACGUGCCAGAGGCUUCUUCCCAAAUAUCAAAGGGUCCUUACAAGAUAUGCUACAUAGUUUGAAUAGGAGAAAGACAGGUCCAUCUCAGCCAGGGUUAUCACACAGAGCACCAAUUUGAAGGAACCUUUUCUAUCUUUUGUUUAGUUGGCGUCCUUUAGUUUUCUUCCAUUUGUAGUAUUGUGUCUUUGUUAAGUCGGCGUCAAGUUUGAUUUAACUUUGGAGUCUUUAUUAGGAGAAUUAUGUAUGUUGUCUUGUUUGUCUAGAAUGUCAUUCAGUCUUUGCUGAUUAGUAUCGAGGUUGUCUUAAUUUCGUUGUAUGUUUAUGUUGUUUCUUUCAUCAAAUGUUAUAUUGUUGCAUCUUUAUUUUGUUUAUUUGUUUUCAUUUUUUUAUCAAAAAAAAAGAAAAAAAAGCCUACAACUAUGUGAUGUUUAUGCAUAUGCAACCCAAACUACGCAAGAUCUGAUUUAUGUAAAACAUGAUACGUAGGCAACCUACUUUUAGGUUCGAUCUAAUGAUUUUGUUUCAUUGUUUUUCAUUAUUUUUUUCCUCCUUUAAAGAAAAGCAAAAGCCAUAAAGAAUGAUAAAAUGAAGGUAGAUAGCGAGAGAAUAAAAGAAAGAAAGGAUGAUAAGACAAGAAAGGGAAAGAACUGAUACAAAAAAAGAGAGAGAAAUAAGGGUGAAAGAAGAGAGGUGUGGUUGGAGGAAAAAAGCAAGUGAGUGUACAUGAAAAUCGGGAUGAUGUUAAAAUGACCUUGCUACCCUCAAAGGCUGGUAGAAAUGAACAUGAAUCUAGGACAAUUUUACUAAUGUGAUUCCCAUGCUUGUUGUGUGACCUAAUCCUAACGGGUGUUUUCUUUGAUGAGCAUCUUCUUUCAGAUAACAAUUGGUUUGCAGCACUCUAGCUAGUCACCCUUACUUCACUAAAUCAAAAGCAAAGCUCGCUAUGGCUAGUAGGGAGAUUGAAAAUUCGCUCAUUGACCCAGAUCAGGAUCCCCGGGAGGAAAUUUCAGAACGCAAUGAUGAGAUUCUAAGACUUAGGCAACAAUUAAUAGAUCUGAACCAAGCAUGGGCUAGUGGCAUGCCUCUUCCCCCACUCCCUGAAGAUCUUGGGAAUAUCUUUAACUGCCCACCGCUUUUUUAGGUUCAAUUCUCUGCUCUUAUGAAGUCACCAGAACACGCGCCAAGAUUCACUCCACUAUAAUAUUAUCCUGGCACUUCUAGUGUGCCUUUGGAGAUUCCCCAACCAAGGCACGCUGCUCAGCCGGCACCACUGGCAGCGCCUGUGUUUGUGGCUCCGCCACCACCUGAAGUUCCACCUAUACUGUAUGGCUAACAGUGGUGCUUCCUCGGUCUGCCAGUGAACCAGUAUUGAAGGUUUCAGAUAGUCAGUAUUAUGCCCUAGAGCCUACUUUGAGAAUGAAUGAAUCGUAUGGGUACACUCAGUUACCUGCAUUUCUAUUUGAUACGGAUAAACCUAUCGCAACAGAGGAACAGGAGGUCAUAGCAUGGAAAUUAAAAAGUUUGGAACAGGCCAUGAGGAAUUUGUAGGGAAUCGGAGGUUAUAAGAGUGUUUCCUAUAAAGAUUUUUACAUGUUCCCGGACGUCUUGGUUUUAAAAUGCCCAAGUUCAAGAAGUAUGCUGGGCACGGUGAUCCCGUGGCACAUUUAAGACAUUAUUGCAACCAAUUGUGGGCUGCAGGGGGAAGAGAAGAGUUGCUCAUGGCUUUCUUUGGCGAGAGUCUUUCUGAUCUGGCUUCAGAAUGGUUUGUCGAUCAAGAUAUCAACAAGUGGAACAACUGGGAUGACUUAGCUUCUGAUUUUGUGCAAUAUUUUUAGUAUAAUGUCGACUUGAUUCCUGACAAAAAAUCUUUGGUCAACAUGAAGAAGAAAAGUACUGAAGGCUUUCGGGAAUACGCGAUAAGGUGGCGUAAACAGGACGCCAGGGUAAAGCCUCCAAUGAAGGAGAGUAAGUUGGUAGAGGUCUUCAUUCAGGCAUAGGAUGAGACCUAUUUUUAACAUUUACUUUUGGCAAUGGGAAAGUCUUUUAUUGAAGUCCUCAAAAUAGGAGAGAUGAUAGAGGACGGAAUCCUGGAUGAAUAGUGAGUUUUGCCACGUUAAAAGCCACCACACAAGCUAUUCAAGGUGGCUCUGGAGUAUUUGGAGGUAAAAAAAAAGAGGACGUGGCAACCGUUGUAGCUGGAACCCAUUUCUAUCCUAAAAGACCGCCUCACCCCUAUCCCCAAUCUCAAGCCCAAGACUACGUCCAAGCUCUAUAUAUUCCUCCCCACCAUUACUACUCUCUACAAAACCUAUUAUAUUCUAUUCCACUACCCCCGUACCCAGUAUAUAGCGCGUAGCCAUAUGCCCAAACCCCUUCUUACCCGCAAUGGCGCGCGCAAGCUCCAUAAAAUUGUCCAUCAGCUCCACCAAAUUACAAAACCCCUCCAUACCUGGUUUCUAAUCCAGGCCUAAGUACAAGAAAGAGAAGGCGGUCAAAAAUUAGUUCACACCUCUUGGGGAGUCAUAUGCUAGCUUGUUUGCUAGGUUGAGAAAGAUGAAGGUCUUAAGCCCAAUUCAAGGAAGGCUUUCAAAUGCACCUCUGAGAAAUUUUGAUUAUUCUUUAAGGUGUGCAUAUUGUUCUGAUAUGCUAGGCCACAAUAUGAAGAAAUGCUGGUAUUUAAAGAGAGCUAUCCAAGAUUUAACUGACACAAAUCAGAUACUGGUCUAGGCCCCGGAGGUUCCAAACGUUAACCAGAAUCCGCUACCAACCCAUGCUGAAACCAAUAUGUUAGAAUUGAUAUAUGAUGGGAAAGAGACGUCAAGGUGUUAUAAGCCAAUUGUAAAGAUACAGACCAAUGAGGAAAAAUUAGUGAAUGUAGCAGAUUCGUUGAAAGCAAUGUCACUAAGCCAGGAAGGAAUGAGAAAAGCUAAAGUCCAAGAAAACAUAAAGAAACCCGUGAUCACAGUGAAAGGAGUCAGAGCAGUCGUUGGUUUAAGUCAAGAAAAGCCUAAGUUGACGGUGAUAAGAGCUCCGUGUAAGCCUAUAUUAAUGGUGAAAGGAGCACUUGCAGUGCCUAUUAUCAUCAUACCAGUGACCCAACCUCUGGUAUUUGACACAAAAAAGGUUCCCUGGAACUAUGAGCGGACUGUGAUGACCUAUCAGGGGAAGGAAAUAGUAGAGAUGUAGAUGAGGUAGAGGAUUUGACUCGGUCAGAAAGAUGCUUCGUGCCUGAAAGUUUAAGGAAGUCCAAGACAAUUGUGAGUGGACCUUCAUCUAUCAAAAAGACUAUCACCAAAGAAGAAGCCGAAGAAUUUUUGAAAAAGAUGAAGUUGCCAGCGUAUUCAAUAAUAGAUCAGUUGAAGAAAACCCCUACUCAAAUUUCCCUCUUAUCUUUGUUGUUGCAUUCCAAGGAACAUCGUGAUAUUAUAUUAAAGCUAUUAAAUAAAGCAUAUGUUCCUAGGGAGAUUAUAGUAAAUUAGACUGAGAAAAUGGUUGGAAAAAUCUUUGAGGUCAAUCGGAUCAGCUUCUCUGACGAUGAAUUGCUUGUUGAAGUUACGGGGCAUAACCGGGGUCUUUACAUUAUAGUGAAGUGCGAAGAUUUCUAUGUCACUCAUGUCAUGAUUGACGGAGGUUCCGAUGCAACUAUCUACUCUAUUUCUACUUUGCAAAAUUUAAAUAUUGGUGUUGAGAGGAUCAGGCCUAACAAUGUAUGUGUUAGGGCUUUCGAUGGUGCAAAAUCAAACUCCAUUGGAGAAAUAGAACUAAUGUUGAUUAUAGGGCUUGUUAAAUUCAUCCUAGAGUUUCAAUUAUUGAACAUCGACUCCUCUUACAAUCUAUUGUUAGGAACACCAUGGAUCCAUAAGGCCAAGGCGGUUGUAUCUACAUUGCACCAGAUGAUCAAGUUUGAGCAUGACAGGCAAGAAGUGGUUAUUCAUGGUGAAGGGGAUUUGUCCGCCUAUAAAGAUUCUCCGUUGUCUCUAAUUGAAGCAAACAAUGUAGAGGAGACAUUUGUCUAUCAAACUUUUGAUACAGUGCUAGUAGAUCAUAUCCUUGAAAGAUAGGUUAUUCAGGGACCACAAUUGUCUUCCGCUUCUAUCAUGAUGGUGAGUGAGCUUUUUAAAUAUGGAUUUGUGCCAGGGAAGGGUUUGGGAGUGUCUCUGUAUGGUAUCGUUCGUCCCAUAUGUUCGAGAGAGAACAUGGGCACUUUUGGUCUGGGAUUUAAACCUACGGCUGAAGAUUUGAAGAAGGCCAAGGGUAGGAAAAAGAAAACAUGGUCGCUCCCUAGCCCAAUGCCGCUACUCAGUGAAUUAUUUGUCAAGAGCGAUGUUACAAAACCUAUAGAAUUUGAACCUGAAUUGGUUGAUAACUUUCAAAACCUACUGAUUGAUCUUGACAUGGUUGAAACAGGAGAGGGUACCCCUAAGGUGGAUGUAUUGUUCAUAGGUCCUGAGGUCCAGCUCAACAAUUGGGAAGUCACUCCUCUCCCUGUCAGGAGGGAGUUUUGGUAGUUCAUUUUUUUUUCUUUCUAUUUAUCCGAGUUAUUCCAGGGUUAUAAUUUGGAAUUUAGCUUGUUUACAUUCUGUUUUCAUUUGUGUUUAAAACCUCCUAUCUUUCCCUUUUAAUAAAAUACAAUGUCCCCUUAUUUUGUGUCGAAUAUAUUUUGUUUUUGUCUUUUUCUUUAUACAGUUCUCUUUAUGAUGAUUCUAAUGACAUGUCAUGCAUGCAAAAAUUUUAGCCUGAUCUUAAAAUCCAAACUAAUUAAGAUAUAAUGAAGCAAGAGGGGAAUAUGAUGAAGAAGAGGCACUAGAAGAAAUAAGCAAAGAGUUGGAACAGUUUGAAGACAAGCCAAAUCCUAAUUUGAAUGAAACUGAGCUGAUUAAUCUAGGGAAUCAAGAAGAUGUUAGGGAAACUAAAAUCAGUGUACAUGCUUUUCCACAACUAAAAUAUGGAAUGAUUCAAGCAUUAAUUGAUUAUAAGGAUGUUUUUGCAUGGUCUUAUGAUGAUAUGCCUGGUUUAAGCACUGAAUUAGUGGCUCAUAAAUUGCCAACUGAUCCUGUAUUCCCCUUUGUGAAACAGAAGUUGAGGUAGUUUAAAACUUAUGUAAAUAUUAAAAUCAAGGAGGAAAUCAUAAAACAACUUAAAGCCAAAGUCAUUCAAGUGGCUCGUUAUCCUACGUGGUUAUCCAAUGUUGUUCUUGUCCCAAAGAAAGAUGGCAAAAUUUGAGUAUGUGUUGAUUACCGUGAUUUGAACAGAGCAAGUUUGAAGGAUGAUUUUUCGCUACCCAACAUCCAUAUUUUGCUAGACAACUGUGCUAAACAUGAUGUUGCCUCUUUUGUGGAUUGCUAUGACGGAUACAACCAGAUCAUUAUGGAUGAUGAAGAAAUGGAGAAGACCUAUUUUAUCACACCAUGAGGGACUUUUGUUAUCAAGUGAUGCCGUUCGGUUUGAUGAAUGCUGAAGCAACAUAUAUGAGAGCCAUGACCCUAUGUUUCAUAAUAUGAUGCAUAAGGAGAUUGAGGUCUAUGUAGAUGAUGUGAUUAUUAAAUCAAAGAGUAGGUUGACCAUGUUAAAAAUUUAAGAAAGUUCUUUGAAAGGCUUCGCAGGUAUAAUCUCAAGCUUAACCCGACAAAAUGUGUAUUUGAAGUUCCAUCCGGAAAGUUGUUAGGGUUUGUAGUCAGCCAUUGGUGUAUUAAGUUAGACCCUUCAAAUAUCAAAGCCAUCCAAGAUCUGCCGCUGCCCAAGAACAAAAUGGAAGUGAUGAGUAUGCUUGGCAGGAUGAACUAUAUUAGUAGGUUCAUUGCUCAACUCAAAACUACUUGUGAGCCCAUUUUCAAGUUGCUGAAGAAGAGUGUUGCUAUUGAGUGGACUGAAGAAUGUCAGGAAGUGUUUGAUAAAAUUAAAAGAUAUCUCUUACAUCCACCAGUGUUGGUGCCACUUGAGCCUGCCAGGCCUUUAAUUUUGUACUUAUUGGUUAUGGAUAAUUCAUUUGGUUGUAUGUUGGGUCAACAUGAUGUCACAGGCAGAAAGGAAUAGGCUAUUUAUUAUCUCAACAAGAAGUUCACUGCAUAUAAGACCAGGUACACUCUUCUUGAAAGGACGUGUUGUGCCCUAACAUGGGUAGUGCAGAAGUUGAUGCAUUAUCUUUCAUCCUACACUACUUAUCUCAUCUCUCGCAUAGAUCCUUUGAAGUAUUUCUUUCAGAAGCCUAUGCCAACAGGUCGAUUUGGCAAAGUGGAAAAAAUUUCUUACUGAGUUUGACAUUGUAUAUGUGACUCGAACAGCCAUGAAAGCCCAAUCCAUGGCAGAUUAUCUUGCUGAGAAUCCCAUUGAUAAAGAGUAUGAGCCGCUAAAGAUAUAUUUUCCAGAUGAAGAGGUAUUCUAUGUCGAGGAAGUAAUUAUAGAGGCUGAUCUGGGUUGGAAGCUAUUCUUUGAUGGAGCUGUUAAUAUGAAAGAAGUCAGAAUAGCUGCAGUUCUUAUCUCUAAAUUGGGGCAACAUUUCCCGGUAACAACGCAACUUCAAUUUUAUUGUACCAAUAACAUGGAAAAAUAUGAAGCAUGCAUUCUUGGUUUGAGGUUAGCUGUUGAUAUGGGAGUCCAAGAACUAUUAGUGUUGGGGGAUUCAGAUUUGCUCGUCCAUCAGAUUCAAGCGAUUGGGAGAUGCAAGAUUUGAAGCUCAUACCAUAUCAAUAAUGCUUGCAAGAGCUAUGUCAACGGUUUGUAUCUAUAAAGUUUAGGCAUAUUCCAAGAAUUUGCAAUGAGAUUGCUGAUGCUUUGGCCACUUUGUCUUCAAUGCUCUAACACCCUGAUAAGGCCUACAUCCAUCCAGUGCAUAUACAGAGUCAUGAUCAACAUGCUUAUUGUAAUGAAGUUGAAGAAGAGCUCGAUGGUGAACCUUAGUUCUUUGAUAUCAAGCAGUAUAUCCAUUCAAGAUAAUACCCAACACAUGCCACCAAUGAUCAAAAGCGGACUAUUAGGCAUUUGGCUAGUGGAUUUUUCUUAAGUGGAGGAAUCUUAUACAAGAGAACCCCUGAUCUGGGACUUUUGAGAUAUGUAGAUACAAAAGAAACUUCAGCAAUCAUGGUUGGAGUUGAUUCUAGAGUAUGUGGACCUCAUAUGAACGGUUAUGUCUUGUCAAAGAAGAUCCUCCGAGCAGGUUAUUAUUGGCUUACUAUGGAGAGGGAUUCUAUUCGAUUUGUUUGAAAAUGUUAUCAAAGUCAGGUACACGGUGAUCUGAUAUAUUCCCCUCCAGCUGAGUUGCACGCAAUGGCUGCUCCGUGGCCAUUUGUAUCUUAGGGAAUGGACGCGAUUGGACCGAUUGAGCCAAAAAUAUCGAAUGGUCAUAGAUUCAUUAUGGUGGCCAUUGAUUACUUCACAAAGUGGGUAGAGGCGGUAACUUUUAAGUCAGUAACAAAGAAGGCGGUGGUGGAUUUUGUUCAUGCCAACAUCAUUUGUAGGUUUGGAAUUCCAAAGAUGAUCAUUACUAAUAAUGCUGCUAAUCUCAAUAGUCACAUAAUACAAGAAGUGUGUCAACAGUUUAAGAUCGCACAUCAAAAUUCCACUCCAUAUCAUCCGAAGAAAAAUGGCACCAUGGAAGCCGCUAAUAAGAAUAUCAAGAAGAUAUUACAGAAAAUGGUACAAGGAUCUAGACAAUGGCAUGAGAAGUUGCCAUUUGAAUUGCUAGGUUAUCGCACUAUUGUUUGCUCUUCAACUGGGGUAACUCCAUAUUUAUUGGUGUAUGGGAUAGAAGCAGUCAUUCCUGUAGAAGUUGAAAUUUCAUCUCUUCGAGUCAUUGUGGAAGCAUAGAUUAAUGAUGACGAGUAGGUCAAAACCCAACUGGAACAAUUGAGUUUGAUUGAGAAAAAAAGGCUAACGUCGGUAUGUCAUGGCCAAUUGUAUCAGAGGAGAAUGGCUCGAGCGUAUAACAAAAAGUUACGACCCAGGAAUUUUGAAGUUGGUCAGUUGGUAUUGAAGUGUAUCCUUCCUCACCAGGUUGAAGCGAAAGGCAAGUUCUCCCCAAAUUGGCAAGGUCCUUUCAUUGUGAAGAAAGUGUUGCCUAAUGAAGCCUUAUAUUUGACAGAUAUUGAAGGCAGAAUGGCAGAGAUGGCUAUCAAUGUUAAUGCGGUCAAAAGAUAUUAUGUAUGAUAUUUUAUCCUUUGUUGGUUCUAUUGCAUGUUUAGUACUUGCAUUUUUGAAGAAUGAUAUAAUGAAGGCAUUUCAUUCUACAAUCCAAAUAUUGUGUCAGCCUUUGUUUACCCCAUUUGAGCCUAGUUCUAUUUUAUUUCACAUCCCUCUUUUGGAAUAAAAAAGAGUCAAAAUAAAAUUAUUAAGAAAAGAAGAAGAAAAGAAAAAGCAUGAAGAAUAAAAAAAAUAAUUUAAGUCAAAACAAAGAACCAGAUGAUGGAACUAUGUGCGCCCUGAUUCUCCUCUCUUGGGAGUGAUAUACGUAAGAGUCACCCAGUCAACAAAAAAUGGGGCAUGAGUUAAUGUGUUAUUUGAGUCGAUUCCAAAAGUUGUAAGUCCCACCCCCACUUCAAGUGUUGUUUGAGCCUAUUGCCAUCCUUUCCUAACCUUAUCCAAAAGCCAAGCUACAACCAAAGAAUGUCCUUCAGAUUAAUCUCUGAUAAUGUUAAGGCUAAGCAUACAAUGGAUAUGAUAAUACAUUGUAGGGUACUACUUGUCUUUCUCAUGAUAAAAAAUCAGGAAAGAAAUAAAAAUGAGAGAGUCUUAUUGGUGAAAAUCAUUGCGGGCACCAUAAGGCGAUGGUGAGUCGAGAGAAAUAAAAAUGAGAGAGUCUUACUGGUGAAAACCCUUACGGGCACCAUAAGGCGAUGGGGAGUUGAGAGAAAUAAAAAUGAGAGUCUUAUUGGUCAAAACCCUUAUGGGCACCGUAAAGCGAUGGCGAGUUUGAGAGAAAAGUGAAAAGGAAAGAGAUUUGUCGGCGAAAGUCUUUUAAGCUGUCUUCAAUUGAAUGAGAUAUGUGAGUCCAAUGGAUUUGAAGAAGCGGCUCAGCGGCAAAGUUAUGAACUCAACAACAAAUGGGAAGUUUGGAUAGGAAGAUCAGGCAACUUAAUCCAAAAUGUAUGUCAUACUCAUUGGAGUUGUUUGUCGUAUUCAGAUAAGUUUUCUUUUGAAUAAAGGACAUUGCCCUUUUCUUUCAUUUACAUAUUCAUAUUUUGUCUUUUUAUGUCAUUUAUUAAAAUAAAAGUCACCAUCAUUUCUUUAUAUUUUAAGUCAAGUCUGUGUCAAAACAAGCGAGAAAGGAUUUUAACACUUGCUACCAGUCUUUCCAAUUGUAUGAGGAAAAGCCAAGGACCAUUACAUGAAAGAAAUAUGAUCGUAAUUCAACACGAAGCAAAAGAAGUCUAUCAACCGACAGGCAGUUGUAUUCGUGGGAGUAUUCAGAAUUGGAAAAAGGUGCAUCUUAGAGGCAUGGUAAAAUAUAAACUCAUUGUUCGGGUCAGAACUCAUUUCCCCCAAUCUGGAUCCGGGUCAAUAAAGCGACAAGACAGGGACAAUUUUCAGUAAUCUUAAACAAAGGUGAAAGGAAUAACGGUUGGAGCAGAUGCCUGGGAAGCCAAGUGCUACAAGCCACCACUAAGUUUUAACUGACAAAUUUUUCUUUGAUGAAACAGGGGAAAAGUUUUUGUUCAUUAAGUUCAGCUACCAUUGGGAAGUAUGACCGGGGACUUUUCUUUAUGUUCAGGACCCUCAUGAAAAAUGAGAUUUUACUUUCUGUUCAGGACCCUCCUGAAAAAUGAGAAUUUACUUUCUGUUCAUGACUCUCCUGAAAAAUGAGAAUUUACCUUGUGUUCAGGAUUCUCCUGAAAAAUGGGAUUUCACUUUCUGUUCAGGACCCUCCUGAAAAAUAGGAAUUUACCUUCUAUUCAGGACCUUCUUGAAAAAUGAGAUUUUACUUUCUGUUCAGGAUCUUCCUGAAAAAUGGAAAUUUACUUUCUGUCCAGGACUCUCCUGAAAAAUGGGAAUUUACUUUUUGUUUAGGACCCUCCUGAAAAAAUAGGAAUUUACUUUCUGUUCAGAACCCUCCUAAAAAAAUGAGAAUUUACUUUCUAUUCAGGACCCUCCUGAAAAAUGGGAAUUUACUUUCUGUUCAGGACCCUCCUGAAAAAUAAGAAUUUACCAUCUGUUUAGGACUUUCCUGAAAAAUGGGAUUUUACUUUCUGUUCAGGACCCUCUUGAAAAAUGGGAAUUUACCUUCUGUUCAAGACCCUCCAAAAAAAUAGGAUUUUACUUUCUGUUCAGGACCCUCCUGAAAAAUGUGAUUUUAAUUUCUGUUCAGGACCCUCCUAAAAAAUGGGGAUUUACUUUCUAUUCAGGACCCUCCUGAAAAAUGGGAAUUUACCUUCUGUUUAGGGCCCUCCUAAAAAAUGGGAUAUUACUUUAUGUCCAGGACCCUUCUGAAAAAUGGGAAUUUACUUUCUGACCAGGACCCUCCUGAAAAAUGGGAAUUUACUUUCUGUUCAGGACCCUCCUGAAAAAUGGAAAUUUACCUUCUAUUCAGGAACCUCCUAAAAAACGGGAAUUUACUUUCUGCAGGACCCUCUUGAAAAGUGAGAAUUUACUUUCUAUUCAGGACCCUCAUUAAAAAUGAAAAUUUACCUUCUGUUCAGGACCCUCCUGAAAAAUGAGAAUUUACUUUCUGUUCAGGACCCUCCUGAAAAAUGAGAAUUUACUUUCUAUUCAGGACCCUCUUGAAAAAUGAGAAUUUACCUUGUUUUCAGGAUCCUCCUGAACAAUAAUAUUUUACUUUCUGUUCAGGAUCCUCCUGAAAAAUGAGGAUUUACCUUAUGUUCAGGACCCUCCUAGUGGGACGUUACUUUUAGAAAAUGAAAUCUCUUUUUAUCUUAAUCUUUGUUGGGAUUAAUUUUUUUCUAGUUUUUAUUUAGAUUUCAGGAGCUUGUCUGAAGAACAUGGCGAUGAAAUUGGAGGUUGAUGAAAUCAAAAGUCAGGAGCCCGCCUAAAGAAUAGGGUGAUGAAAUAACAAGUCGUGAGCCCACCUGAAAAGCAGAGCGAAUAAAUGAAAAUCAAGCAACAAGGUGAAGAAAUUGAAAGCCAAGUAACAAGUUGAAGAAAUUGCAAGUCAGGAGUCCUCCUGAAGAAUAGGACAAUGAAACUCAAGUCAAGAGUCCAAAAGAAGCUACAUAGAUAGGAUUUUUGCAAUUUUAUUUAUGUUUUAACUUAUAAUUUUUAUUUUUGAUGCAAUAACAGAGCCGCGGAUCGGAACCUUGAUGGGACCUCACUCGACUCUCCAACUCGGUAUAGUCUAUCUCCGUCUAAUCCUUUGAGAUACCUGUCACUUGAUUUCCUCAUAACGUGGGUAGGUAGGAUGUCUUAAGUCAAGACCUGGUUUCCCUCCUUUCUCUUGCUCUAUGCUUUUGAAUAAAGAUCGGGACGAAAUUGUCUUGUUGUCUACUGCUUUGUAUGAAAACACCAUGUGUUUGCAUCCAAAAGGGGCAUGAUGUAGACACGUAAUUUUGUCUCUCCCCAAAAAUAUUUUAAUUAUUUCUAUUUUUAUAUUUAUUUUUUUUAUUUUUAUUUUUAUUUUUAUUAUUUUAUUUUUUUAAUUUUUAUUUCUUAUUUUUUAUUUUUAUUUUUAUUUUACUUCAUUUUAUUCUAUUUUUAUUUUUAUUUCUAUUUGCAUCCACUUCACUGUGCCACCUCAACACCUCACCCCUCAUUUUUCAUUAGAUACAUGCAAAGGACACUGCCCUACUAUUUUGCCACACGCCACACUCAUCUUUCCACAUGCCAUAUCUAAUUUUACACAUACCACACAUAUUUCCAUAAGCCACCAAUAGUACUCAUCCACAUAGGAUAAUAAAGAAAAAAUAAAAAAUAAGAAAAGGGAAAUUUCCAAGAAAGGGGGAGAAAAAGGGACCACAUAAUUAUUCCAUUUUUUUCUUUCCAUUUUGGGAGGGGAUAUAUACGGACAUCACAAAGGAUUUGGGGGUUCUGAUUCAUUAAAGAAGGAUACAGAGAAACCAUAGAAGAGCUCCAUUUUCUUGUUUCUUCUUGACUAUGCACACACAGACCUCACGAUUCACACACACACUUUUGCUCUAGCUAGAAAACACCUGCACACACACACUUAGUAAGGGGGAGGCAAAAAAUGGAGGGGUAAUAGAUGGAGAUUUGGCAAAGAGAUCUGAAAACAGGGAGAAAUCCGAUUCUCUUUUGUGUUUUCUGUUGGUAUCCGCAUCGGAAUUGAUGUCCGUCAUCAUUUUUGGGCCGAAUCUGUCAUAAAUUGCUGAAAAAUCCCUCAUUUUUCUUUCGAUAUCGGGACGAGACCUCGCCUGAGCUCGAUUUCAAUCAGGUUCAGUUCUUUUGUUGGAGUUUUAGGGUGUUUCGGGUUUUUUCUGUUGCGGGAUUCGUUUGAUAUUGCUUUUUGGGGGUUUCCGCGACUAAGUCGUAUCAAUAUUCGUGAUUUUGCUUUUCACAUCGAGGUCUUAUUCUGGGUUGAAAUUUGUUUGGUCGGUGAUGUCGGUUUGUUGAUUUGGCGUGUUCGUCGUUAUGGUUCUUUGUUCGAGGAUUUCGGUUUCGGACUUCUUUAUUAUCUACAAGAACUUUCUAUUAAGGUCCAUUUCUUUAAUCCAUUUCCCUUUUCUUCAUCUUGAUUUUGAAUUGGUUGUGAUUAUGUGUGGUGCGAUUAUGGUUGUUGGAUUUUGGUUGAUAUUAUGAUUUAUGUGUUUGAUGAUACUAUGUUGGCGAUAUUUGAAACAAAAUUUGAAUAAUUUUGAUGGCAUGAUUAAUAAAAUUGAAGUUGGG